rnacentral:rRNA from 1 species
UACGUAGGCAGCAAGCGUUGUUCGGAGUUACUGGGCGUAAAGGGUGUGUAGGCGGUUGGAUAAGUGUGGUGUGAAAUCUCCCGGCUCAACUGGGAGGGUGCGCUACAAACUGUCUGACUAGAGUGUGGGAUGGGUAAGUGGAAUUCCUGGUGUAGCGGUGAAAUGCGCAGAUAUCAGGAGGAACACCGGUGGCGAAGGCGGGUCUCUGGGCCGAUACUGACGCUGAGGAGCGAAAGCGUGGGGGAGCGAACAGG